AUUGAACGCUGGCGGCAGGCUUAACACAUGCAAGUCGAGCGGUAGCACAGGGGAGCUUGCUCCCUGGGUGACGAGCGGCGGACGGGUGAGUAAUGUCUGGGAAACUGCCUGAUGGAGGGGGAAAACUACUGGAAACGGUAGCUAAUACCGCAUAACGUCGCAAGACCAAAGAGGGGGACCUUCGGGCCUCUUGCCAUCAGAUGUGCCCAGAUGGGAUUAGCUAGUAGGUGGGGUAAUGGCUCACCUAGGCGACGAUCCCUAGCUGGUCUGAGAGGAUGACCAGCCACACUGGAACUGAGACACGGUCCAGACUCCUACGGGAGGCAGCAGUGGGGAAUAUUGCACAAUGGGCGCAAGCCUGAUGCAGCCAUGCCGCGUGUGUGAAGAAGGCCUUCGGGUUGUAAAGCACUUUCAGCGAGGAGGAAGGUGGUGAGCUUAAUACGUUCAUCAAUUGACGUUACUCGCAGAAGAAGCACCGGCUAACUCCGUG
rnacentral:rRNA from 1 species